AUUGAACGCUGGCGGCAUGCCUUACACAUGCAAGUCGAACGGCAGCGCGGACUUCGGUCUGGCGGCGAGUGGCGAACGGGUGAGUAAUGUAUCGGAACGUACCAUUCAGUGGGGGAUAACGCAGCGAAAGUUGCGCUAAUACCGCAUAUUCUGUGCGCAGGAAAGCAGGGGAUCGCAAGACCUUGCGCUGAUUGAGCGGCCGAUAUCAGAUUAGCUAGUUGGUGAGGUAAAGGCUCACCAAGGCGACGAUCUGUAGCGGGUCUGAGAGGAUGAUCCGCCACACUGGAACUGAGACACGGUCCAGAAUCCUACGGGAGGCAGCAGUGGGGAAUUUUGGACAAUGGGCGCAAGCCUGAUCCAGCCAUGCCGCGUGAGUGAAGAAGGCUUUCGGGUUGUAAAGCUCUUUCGGCCGGGAAGAAAUCGUAUGGGUUAAUACCCUGUGCGGAUGACGGUACCGGCAUAAGAAGCACCGGCUAACUACGUGCCAGCAGCCGCUGUAACAC
rnacentral:rRNA from 1 species